UACUCCUACGGGAGGCAGCAGUGGGGAAUAUUGGACAAUGGGCGCAAGCCUGAUCCAGCCAUGCCGCGUGUGUGAAGAAGGCCUUUUGGUUGUAAAGCACUUUAAGCGAGGAGGAGGCUACUUGGAUUAAUACUCUAGGAUAGUGGACGUUACUCGCAGAAUAAGCACCGGCUAACUCUGUGCCAGCAGCCGCGGUAAUA
rnacentral:rRNA from 1 species